UACGUAGGGGGCAAGCGUUGUCCGGAUUUAUUGGGCGUAAAGAGCGUGUAGGCGGCCAGACAGGUCUGCUGUGAAAACUCGAGGCUCAACCUCGAGACGCCGGUGGAAACCGUCUGGCUAGAGUCCGGAAGAGGAGAGUGGAAUUCCUGGUGUAGCGGUGAAAUGCGCAGAUAUCAGGAGGAACACCCGUGGCUAAGGCGGCUCUCUAGUACGGUACUGACGCUGAGACGCGAAAGCGUGGGAAGCGAACAGG
rnacentral:rRNA from 1 species